rnacentral:rRNA from 1 species
AAGGUGCGAGAAGGGGGGAGUGACGUCAAUCAGCACGGCCCUUACGUCCGGGGCGACACACGUGUUACAAUGGCAGGUACAGAGGGCAGCUACCCAGCGAUGGGGUGCGAAUCUCGAAAGCCUGUCUCAGUUCGGAUUGCAGGCUGCAACUCGCCUGCAUGAAGCCGGAAUCGCUAGUAAUCGCGGAUCAGCAUGCCGCGGUGAAUACGUUCCCGGGCCUU